rnacentral:rRNA from 1 species
UACGUAGGGAGCGAGCGUUAUCCGGAUUUACUGGGUGUAAAGGGAGAGUAGGUGGCAGAGCAAGUCCGAAGUGAAAACCCAAAGCUCAACUAUGGGAAUGCUUUAGAAACUGCAGGACUUGAGUGAAGUAGAGGUAAGCGGAAUUCCUAGUGUAGCGGUGAAAUGCGUAGAUAUUAGGAGGAACAUCGGUGGCGAAGGCGGCUUACUGGACCGUAACUGACGUUGAGGCUCGAAAGCGUGGGGAGCAA